rnacentral:rRNA from 1 species
CAGUAGUCACGAGUUUGAUCCGGCUCAGAACGAACGCUGGCGGCAUGCCUAACACAUGCAAGUCGAACGAGACCUUCGGGUCUAGUGGCGCACGGGUGAGUAACGCGUGGGAAUCUACGUACCCUACGGAACAACAGUUGAAACGACUGCUAAUACCGUAUACGCCCUACGGGGGAAAGAUUUAUCGGGGUAUGAUGAGCCCGCGUUGGAUUAGCUAGUUGGUGGGGUAAAGGCCUACCAAGGCGACGAUCCAUAGCUGGUCUGAGAGGAUGAUCAGCCACAUUGGGACUGAGACACGGCCCAAACUCCUACGGGAGGCAGCAGUGGGGAAUAUUGGACAAUGGGCGCAAGCCUGAUCCAGCCAUGCCGCGUGAGUGAUGAAGGUCUUAGGAUUGUAAAGCUCUUUCACCGAUGAAGAUAAUGACGGUAGUCGGAGAAGAAGCCCCGGCUAACUUCGUG